rnacentral:rRNA from 1 species
UACGUAGGGGGGCAAGCGUUGUCCGGAAUUAUUGGGCGUAAAGCGCGCGCAGGCGGCUUCUUAAGUCUGAUGUGAAAGCCCACGGCUCAACCGUGGAGGGUCAUUGGAAACUGGGAAGCUUGAGUGCAGAAGAGGAGAGUGGAAUUCCACGUGUAGCGGUGAAAUGCGUAGAUAUGUGGAGGAACACCAGUGGCGAAAGCGGCGUCUCUGGUCUGUAACUGACGCUGAGGCGCGAAGCGUGGGAGCAAACAGG